AUAAAAAACCAAUGCCCUUCGGGGCUCCUUGGUGAUUCAUGAUAACUUAACGAAUCGCAUGGCCUUGUGCCGGCGAUGGUUCAUUCAAAUUUCUGCCCUAUCAACUUUCGAUGGUAGGAUAGUGGCCUACCAUGGUUUCAACGGGUAACGGGGAAUUAGGGUUCUAUUCCGGAGAGGGAGCCUGAGAAACGGCUACCACAUCCAAGGAAGGCAGCAGGCGCGCAAAUUACCCAAUCCCGACACGGGGAGGUAGUGACAAUAAAUACUGAUACAGGGCUCUUUUGGGUCUUGUAAUUGGAAUGAGUACAAUUUGAAUCCCUUAACGAGGAACAAUUGGAGGGCAAGUCUGGUGCCAGCAGCCGCGGUAAUUCCAGCUCCAAUAGCGUAUAUUAAAGUUGUUGCAGUUAAAAAGCUCGUAGUUGAACCUUGGGCCUGGCUGGCCGGUCCGCCUCACCGCGUGCACUGGUCCGGCCGGGCCUUUCCUCCUGGGGAGCCGCAUGCCCUUCACUGGGUGUGUC
rnacentral:rRNA from 1 species